rnacentral:rRNA from 1 species
AUGCAGUCGAGCGGAAACGAUCCUAGCUUGCUAGGAGGCGUCGAGCGGCGGACGGGUGAGUAACACGUGAGAAUCUGCCCAUUAGAGGGGGAUAACCUGGGGAAACCCAGGCUAAUACCGCAUAAUCCCUACGGGGGAAAGCAGGGGAUCUUCGGACCUUGUGCUGAUGGAUGAGCUCGCGUCGGAUUAGCUUGUUGGUGAGGUAAUGGCUCACCAAGGCGACGAUCCGUAGCUGGUCUUAGAGGAUGAUCAGCCACACCGGGACUGAGACACGGCCCGGACUAAUACGGGAGGCAGCAGUGGGGAAUCUUGGACAAUGGGGGCAACCCUGAUCCAGCCAUGCCGCGAAUGUGAAGAAGGCCUUCGGGUUGUAAAGCACUUUCAGUAGGGAGGAAGGCUUAUCCUUAAUACGGAUGAGUACUUGACGUUACCUACAGAAGAAGCACCGGCUAAUUUCGUGCCAGCAGCCGCGGUAAUACGAAAGGUGCGAGCGUUAAUCGGAAUUACUGGGCGUAAAGCGCGCGUAGGCGGUUUGCUAAGUCAGAUGUGAAAGCCCCGGGCUCAACCUGGGAACUGCAUUUGAAACUGGCAGGCUAGAAUGCAGUAGAGGGAGGUGGAAUUUCCGGUGUAGCGGUGAAAUGCGUAGAGAUCGGAAGGAACACCAGUGGCGAAGGCGGCCUCCUGGACUGACAUUGACGCUGAGGUGCGAAAGCGUGGGGAGCAAACAGGAUUAGAUACCCUGGUAGUCCACGCCGUAACGAUGUCUACUAGUCGUUGGGAUCUUAGUAUUCUUGGUGACGAAGUUAACGCGAUAAGUAGACCGCCUGGGGAGUACGGCCGCAAGGUUAAACUCAAUGAAUUGACGGGGGCCGCACAAGCGGUGGAGCAUGUGGUUAAUUCGAUGCACGCGAAGAACUUACCAGGCUUGACAUCCUUGGAACUUUCUAGAGAUAGAUGGUGCUUCGGGAGCAAGU